rnacentral:tRNA from 1 species
GGGGCAUUAGCUCAAUUGGUAGAGCGUCUGCAUGGCAUGCAGAAGGUCAGCGGUUCGAUUCCGCUAUGCUCCA